GACGAACGCUGGCGGCGUGCUUAACACAUGCAAGUCGAACGGUGAAGCGCCUUCCUUUUUGGUGGGUGUGGAUGAGUGGCGAACGGGUGAGUAACACGUGAGUAACCUGCCCCCUUCUUCUGGAUAACCGCAUGAAAGUGUGGCUAAUACGGGAUAUUCUGGGUCUGUCGCAUGAUGGGUCUGGGAAAGAUAUUGUUUCGGUGGGGGAUGGGCUCGCGGCCUAUCAGCUUGUUGGUGGGGUGAUGGCCUACCAAGGCGGUGACGGGUAGCCGGCCCGAGAGGGUCGGCGGUCAAGCGGGGGAGGAGCGGCGGCCAAGACUCCGACGGGCGGCAGCGGUGGGGAAUAGAGCACAAGGGGCGGAAGGCUGAUGCAGCGACGCGGGGUGAAGGAUGGAGGCCGUCGGGUUGUGAACCUCUUUCGCGAGUGAAGCAGGCCUGCCUCGUUUGUGGGUGGGUUGACGGUAGCUGAAUAAGAAGCGCCGGCUAACUACGUG
rnacentral:rRNA from 1 species